GGAAAUUGAGUUUGGAUCUGGUUUCCAAUUUUGUCUUGAAACCUUUUCAAAUGGAGAUUAAGGUAAUGGUAUUUAAGUUGGGGGAAAUGGUUGAGCUCUUUCUCCUCUCCUCUUCCCAAGUGUAGACCCAAACUCGAUCACAUUUGCUAUCAUGGUAGGAUCUUGUGGGACUUUCUGUCCUCCCACCAAUUUCAAAUCUUUCUUGGAUUAACACCCUGUCAGCAAAGUUUAGGGAAACACUG
rnacentral:lncRNA from 1 species